CCUACGGGCGGCAGCAGUGGGGAAUAUUGGACAAUGGGCGAAAGCCUGAUCCAGCCAUGCCGCGUGUGUGAAGAAGGCCUUCGGGUUGUAAAGCACUUUCAGUGGGGAAGAAAGCCUUGGGGCUAAUACCCUCGAGGAAGGACAUCACCCACAGAAGAAGCACCGGCUAACUCCGUGCCAGCAGCCGCGGUAAUACGGAGGGUGCGAGCGUUAAUCGGAAUUACUGGGCGUAAAGCGCGCGUAGGCGGUCUGAUAAGCCGGUUGUGAAAGCCCCGGGCUCAACCUGGGAACGGCAUCCGGAACUGUCAGGCUAGAGUGCAGGAGAGGAAGGUAGAAUUCCCGGUGUAGCGGUGAAAUGCGUAGAGAUCGGGAGGAAUACCAGUGGCGAAGGCGGCCUUCUGGACUGACACUGACGCUGAGGUGCGAAAGCGUGGGUAGCAAACAGGAUUAGGUACCCUGGUAGUC
rnacentral:rRNA from 1 species